rnacentral:lncRNA from 1 species
AGAAGAGGUAUGCAGGUUUUAAGGUUUCACAAUCAGUUGUCAGAAAAACAGCAGUUAUGCCUGCAGUAUCUCGUUAGCAUCUGACUCAAUUAUUUUUAGAUUACAUUGUUUAGAAGACAUUGUAAACCCAUCUAAAACUUUGUAAUUAUUUUGAGAUGGUUCCAAUGUUAACCCUAGAAUCAUCAUCAGAAAGAGUAACAAUGUGAUGUAGAAGAACAGCUAAUCGACAUGACUAAAAAUAUGCUCAUUUUCAGAAAAACAAUCUGGUCAUCUGGAAACAAUCACAGCUACAACCUAGGGAACACUCCCAUGUGGGAUACUGAUCUGGCCAAGGCACACUUUCUAAGCAGGAAAACUAUCAGAUCAGGGUGAAUUUAGGCCACUUCAGAGGUGCUGCCUAUAAACAUCCAGACAGACCUUCUUAGGCAGCAGAACUGGUCCCAUUCCUCUCAAAGCAGUUUGACACUACCCUACCCACAUCAACCCAAAGCUUGACGUUAAGUCAAAAGAGCAUAUUGGAGCAAAAGUGAACAGAUGUGUAAACUCUAGCACAUUCUUAUUGCUGUAUUAAGUCUGAAGAUGAGCACAUCCUACCCACAACAGUAUUGUUCCAGGAAGCAGGGUAGGAGUAGUGGUAAAUUAGAAAAUAGACUAUUAAUUGCACAAUUAAUAGAAAAGUAAAAACAUGUUUCAAAAUCUACAAUAAACCUGUAUCCCAAGGAGUCCUAUACGUCAGUGUGAUGUGCUGGACUCUGAAUUCUGUGGUACAGCUUUGCAUUGGACUCCGUCCGGCCUACUGGUCUGGGUACGGCUUGCUUCCUGCCUGUUGAAGGGUGAAUAUGCUACACAGAGCUAUGAUGGUUUCUACUGAGUGGUAAAAUUCACAGAAGUUCCAGGUUCAUCAUGUCAGGAUCAUUCCUUGUGCAAAGUUUGAUGUAGAUGAAGAUAAAGUGGUUUCUUGGUCAAUAAUUGCAAUUUCUUUCUUUUAAAGUCAGUGGGUUUCUUGUAUAGUUCUAUUACAAUUGGCCCAGGUUUAAUUUCAUCCAUCUCCAUGAAAGCAAAACACUUGGUGCUGGUAAACCUUUUUUUAGGCUUGUAGUGUUUGAAUUCAAAGAAGAUAGCUGCACCUUUGGUUAAUUUUUCAACAUGCUUCUGGAGCUCAAUGUCCACAUUAAAAUGAACAUAUGUAUCUUCUUUUCUUGAAGCCACAGGAGUAUCUUGCACAGGAGUUAAGUCUAUGCCAUUCAGAUCUAAAGAGAAAAGAAGUUUCUCUUUAGGAACAUUCAAAUAUACAGACUUAAAAACUGCAGGCCAGGCACGGUGGCUCACGCCUGUAAUCCUAGCACUUUGGGAGGCCGAGGCGGG